rnacentral:lncRNA from 1 species
AAGUCGCGAGCUGGAAGCGGCGGAGGAUUCGACAUCCUGAGCGCUCCCGGGUUGUUAUCUUGCCGCCUGCGGCGAUCAGCCUUCCGGCUGCUGGGCUCGGCUUGGAGCCGCGGCAUGCCGCUUCGGUUUCCGUAGGCGCCCUGCGAGGUCCCUGGUGUGACCCGACUGGGUGACGCCCGGAGCCCACCUCUCCUUGGUGCGCUUUUAAACUCUGAGACCCUGGCAGCCAGUGGGAUUUCCCCUGAAAUUCAACUAGAACUAACGGGAUGACAGUUACACUUUAGUCAUCACUCCAAGUUAAACACAGACGGAUCUCAGUUUAUGUUUUCUGCUUUACCACAGAUCUAUGUCUCCAAUGCAUAGUUCAUAUACUGAGAACUUUUUGUUUUUAAUGGUUAGGCUUUCAGAUUGUUACAAUUUAACCAAUUCACUAUAUGGCCUCUAUCUCCAGGAUCUUCUGUGUUUUCCUGGAUGGUUGACUUAACUAGUUUUCCCAGGAACACAGAGUCAGAUGCAGUUAAUAAAUAAAUCAAAAGUCCUUUAGCACAUUGUAGGGUCCAUACUGACAAGACCAAGAUAACAGUACAAUGACACUAGUUACAAGAGAAACUCAGAAUUCUGUUCCUGGAAUUAGCUGGCCAUUCAAUUUGCCCAUUACUUGCACAUAAAGAAAAGAUUCUUUCUCAGGGCAGUGGUGGCCACAUCUUUAAUCCCAGCACUCAGGAGACAGGAGCAGGCAGAUCUCUUGAGUUCGAGGAUGCUACACAGAGAAACCCUGUCUCGAAGAAAAGAAAAACAUCGUUUGAAACUGUGCUACUGACCGAUGAAAGAGUACCAGAUUUGCCAAUCCUGGUGGCACAGGCCUGUAACUCAAACUACUGGGGAAGCUGAGACAAGAGAACCCCAAAUUCAAGGAUAGCCUGGGCUUAAAACCUAAGUAAACAGAGGGUUGGCAUUAUAGCUUAGUAGCAGCACUCUUGCCUAGCAUGUAGGGAGUAGUGGGCUCAUUCCCAAGGACAGGGGAGGCGAACCCGAGCAUCUUCGGCUACAGAGAUCGCUCCACAGUUUAAGAGCACAUGCUAUUUCAGAGAACCUGAGUUAGGUUCCCCACAUCCAAAUUAGGCGACUCACGACUACCUGUAACUACAGUUCAAGGGGACCCAGUGCUCUCUUCUGGCCUCUGAAGGCACCUUACACAUACGACACUCAUUCGCUCAGACACACAAAACAUGUAUAAAUAUAAAUAAAAACAAAUCUUUAAAAAAAAAAAUGAAGCCCCAGCACAAGAUGGCACACACCUUUAAUUUCAGCACUCAGAGGGCAGACACAGAUGAAAAUCAACCUGGUCUACAUAAGAAAUUACAAGACAGCCAGUGCUACAUUAUAGAGAAACUGACUCAACAAAACCAAACCAAACCACUAAGGACCAGCUGGUUGUCAGAGCCUCUCCCCUUUUAAGCAAGUGCUCUACUGCUGAGACACACACCUGCAACUGAACAAGACUGUGAUCUGGGGUCUGGCUUUAUUUUUUAUUUUUUUCCGAAUCAAUAUGAAUUUUUCUUAACACACAUUUGUCGAAGUCUGUACAAACCAAACAUUUCUAUGUUUUAAAAUGUCCAUUAUUACAAACAUACAAAGAAACGGAAGGUGUUACCAAGUUACUCAAUUACAUGGUAAAAUGCUGUCAUAAUUAAAAAAAAAAAAAUCGACAUCUCAGGGCUGAGGCUUCCCCUGUCUUUCACGAGCUCAUGGGAAUUUAGAAAAUGUGUGGAUUUGCUGAAUAUUAAAUGCUUAGACCUUUAAAAAGGCUUAGCAUAAAACUAAGUAAGUCUUUGUAUAUUGUCACACC